GUGGCUACCGAAUUAAACCAAUGACCAAUAAACGGAAACUGGAGCCAGCUUUCACUUCCCAAGGAUCUAACCUGGUAUUCAGCUUUCCUGUUUUGUUUAUUCUUCCUUUUGUUUGGACUUUUUGUUCAUUUCGUUGAUGGGCAUCUUAGUUUGAAUCUUUAUGUACUAUGUAUGUGUGUGAGCAUGGACCUUUUCCCAUAUGGGUUUCUUGCUUGAAGCCAUUUUAUUUUGGUUCAGGAGAAUUUUUUUUCAUUACCUAACAUGUUUUCAGUGUUUGCCAAGCUUUUACAUGGGUGAAGCAGACGUAUGAAAGUUGUCUGCUUGGAGAAUUCUAGAAUCCUCGUUGACCUGUACUGUGAGCAUGGCUGGUGAACUAGAAACCCUAGAAGAACUUGUAGUAAAGGAGGGAUCUUUAGUUAUGGAUGGAAAGGAUCUAAAGGUGGGUUCUGAUUUAUGCAUAGAAGAUGGUGUUUGCAGUAGUGAGGGUGUUACUAAGCUUAAUGGUGAUGUGGAUUCUGAUGGCUUAAAUACGGAGGGUAGAGGUGUGAAUCCUACCGCAAGAGAAGGUGUUGGGGUUUUUGGUGAGGGUUCUCAAGUUGUGGGGUCCUUAGAAGGGAAGAGUGAGAAUGAAACUGCCGAAUUAGGUGGAAAUGAUGCCUACUUGAAAGCAUUAGAUGAGCAGAAGAACAUUGAUGACAGGGAGGUAAAUAAAUCAGUGGGGAAAGAAGCAGUCAAUGAUGUUAAGGUUGAGUCAGAAGACAGACAAAGCAUUAAAGAGAAUGCUUGCAUUUCAGAGCUAGUUGAUUCGCAUGAAGAGAAGGAAAUUGAAGAUGAAAACUUUGAUGAUGCUGAACGACAUAAAACAACGGGUAGAAAAUUCACAAAGCAUGUGUCAAAUAAGAAGAGCUCAGGAGUCAUUUUUCAGGCAAGUUAUCAGCUGCCAGUUGAAAAGGUAGGUGAGUUUUCUGUGUAUGAUUUGGUAUGGGGCAAGGUGAGAAGCCAUCCAUGGUGGCCGGGGCAAAUAUUUGAUCCCUCCGAUUCAUCUGUGGAGGCACAUAAGCAUUUAAAAAAGGACCGCUAUUUGGUUGCUUAUUUUGGGGAUAGAACAUUUGCCUGGAAUGAUUCGUCUCAGCUCAAGCCCUUUAGGACUCAUUUCUCUAAUAUGGUAAAGCAGUGCAAUUCAGAUGUAUUUCAGAGUGCUGUAGAUUGUGCUUUGGAAGAAGCCUCGAGACGUGCAGAAUAUGGGUUAGCAUGUUCCUGCAUACCUGAAGAUACUCUUGACAAGAUUAAACUCCAGACUGUUGAAAACACUGGCAUUCAACAAGAACUAAGUUUCACACGCAGAGUGGAUGAAUCUUUAAAUGCUGAAUCCUUUUCACCUGAGAACCUUUUGGAAUACUUGAAAACUCUGUCGGAGUUUCCCACUGGCAGCAUUGAUCGAUUGGAGCUCUUAAUUGCUAAGGCUCAAUUGCUUGCUUUCUACCGUUUGAAGGGUUACUCUUGCUUGCCCGAGUUACAAUACUGUGGAGUUUUGGAUAAUGGCACCAAUGCAUUAAUUAAGGAUGCUGAUAAAAGUUUGAGUGAAAUUAAUAAGCAUGCAAGUCAUUCGAGUAAAAAAGAUGUUCAAACUGGUGUUGGAAAAAGGAAAACAUCAAACAGCUCCAGUCACAAAGGCAAGCAUAGUUUGAAAGAUGAUAUAUAUCAAGAAAAGAAGAAAAGAAGCUUGUCUGCAUCAGCAGGUGGGACUUCAGAUUCUACACACGGUGAUUAUCAGUCAGGUGAUGCCACUGAUAAUCUGAUUUAUCCUGCCUCUUCCAAGAAAAAGAAGACUAUUGAUCAUUGGGCCGGUAUUUCAGGGAUGAAAGACCGGAGAAAAACAGUUUCCCUUGCCAAAGUUUCUAAUUCCACAAAGCAAUCCUUUAAAAUUGGUGAACGUAUUCUAAAGGUUGCUAAUCAACUUACUGGACCACCCACUAUGUUGAAGUGUUCUGGAGACUGGUCUCAAAAGGAAGAUGGUUGCGCCGAAGGUUUUUCAAGAAAUGGAACUGAUGUCUUCUCUAAUUCUGAGCGGACUCAGAAGUCAAGCUUGAUUGUUCCAGUGGAAUAUUCAUCUCUAGAUGAUUUGCUACAUUUACUUCAGUGGGUGGCACAUGAACCCCUGGGAGAUUAUAGUUCCUUGAAUAUUAUAGUGAGCUUCUUUUCUGAUUUCAGGAAUUCAAUAAUUGUGGCCAAUGAUUCUGGAAAAGAAAUUUCGUCUGCAGAGAAAGCUGGUAGUAAAAGGAAGAAACAAGUGGGUGGAUCACGUGAAAGGACUGAGACGGGCAUCCAGAUUGGUUCUGAAAAACAGCAGUCACAGAAAAGCAGCAGAAGAGACUACCAACAUGCCCCCGCUGAGCCAGAAAAGCCUAUUAUAGUUUACACUCGUAGGUCCUACCCCAGGAAACAAUUGUCUGAAAACAGUCAUCUUGAGGUUCCUGAAAAGCCUUCUGGUUGUGUAGAUGAGAAUUCCCCAGCUGAACUUAUUUUGAACUUUGCUGAGAUGGAUUCUGUUCUCUCAGAAAUGAAACUGAAUAAGAUUUUUAGGCGAUUUGGACCUCUAAAUGAAUCUGAGACAGAAAUUGACAGAGGGAGCAGCCAGGCUAGAGUGGUUUUUAAGAAGUGUGCUGAUGCAGAGAGUGCUUUCAGUAGUGCUGAAAAUUUCAACAUAUUUGGAUCAGUUAUCGUAAAUUACAAGCUUAACUAUACUCCAAGUACAUUAUUCAAACCUGCAUCUUUUACCACAACGGUGGACCAGGACCAGGACAUGCAUCUUGAUCUCUCCAAUUCUGAACAUAAUACAGUCUAAUUAUUUGGUCAUACAUAUUUUAGUACCACUAGAAUGUUUUUAAGGAAGCAUGUCAGCUGACAAACACUACAGAGCAGUGAAGAUAAAAAGGAGGAUGUUAUCAAACUUUCUGUUUUCAAUCAGGUGUUUCAAGCCUAACGGAAAAGAAUUCGCACUUUUGAGGCAACAAUCUUGAGACCGCUGAAGAAAAAAUAUUCAAGAAAACAAGGGUUAGACAAGUAGAUUUCUCCUCACCUCAAAGGGAAGCAAAUAUACCAAGCAUAUCAUAAGUAAAUUACAUUUGCAACUAUACGGGGUGCUGAAAACAACUUAACAGCAUAUCAUAACUGAAUAAAACUGCUUAACCAAUUUAUUGAUAAAUGGCUGCCAAAGUAUAAGAAAACCUUUGAAGAACUUGCUGAUGUCUCUAUUAAAUUUUGCAAGCAAGUCUUGUUUUUACCAAACUGAGUUUCCAGGUAAAAAUUUAUUGUCAAGACAUACUUAUGAAGUAACCAAACAGAUCAUAAAAUUGAGUUUAUUCUUCAAAUUUGAAGCGUCCCAAAUUGUAAGUCAAACAUAGUCUCGGUAGAUAACAAAAAAUUGUUUUGGAGAACUAAUACAACGAGCAGAAUUAUAGAAACUAAUAUGAUAACCUGUGUAUCUCUGAAGGACUGAAUUUAGGGUUUAUUUUUAUUGCAUCUUCGUUUUUAAUCUUUCUCCUGGUGCCUUGCAAAUGGAAAACUAAACAUUCAGUAAUAUGUUGAGAAAAUAUGCAGUGAGGUGUUUUGGAUCUAUUAUUCUUAUGGGAUACGUACUUCAAUGUAAGAUAUAAUGAUAAUGUAUUGCACACAAUUCCAUUAACUAAGUGCA